CGACCCUUCGGGGUGAGUGGCGCACGGGUGCGUAACGCGUGGGAACCUGCCCUUAGGUUUGGAAUAACUCAGAGAAAUUUGAGCUAAUACCAAAUAAUGUCUUCGGACCAAAGAUUUAUCGCCUUUGGAUGGGCCCGCGUAGGAUUAGCUUGUUGGUGAGGUAAAGGCUCACCAAGGCGACGAUCCUUAGCUGGUCUUAGAGGAUGAUCAGCCACACUGGGACUGAGACACGGCCCAGACUCCUACGGGAGGCAGCAGUGGGGAAUAUUGGACAAUGGGCGAAAGCCUGAUCCAGCAAUGCCGCGUGAGUGAUGAAGGCCUUAGGGUUGUAAAGCUCUUUUACCCGGGAUGAUAAUGACAGUACCGGGAGAAUAAGCCCCGGCUAACUCCGUGCCAGCAGCCGCGGUAAUACGGAGGGGGCUAGCGUUGUUCGGAAAUACUGGGCGUAAAGCGCACGUAGGCGGCGCCGUAAGUCAGGGGUGAAAUCCCGGGGCUCAACCCCGGAACUGCCCUUGAAACUGCAGUGCUAGAAUCUUGGAGAGGCGAGUGGAAUUCCGAGUGUAGAGGUGAAAUUCGUAGAUAUUCGGAAGAACACCAGUGGCGAAGGCGACUCGCUGGACAA
rnacentral:rRNA from 1 species